rnacentral:rRNA from 1 species
CGGACGGGUGAGUAAUGCUUGGGAAUCUAGCUUAUGGGGGGGAGUAACUACGGGAAACUGUAGCUAAUACCGCGUAAUAUCGAAAGAUUAAAGUGUGGGACCUUCGGGCCACAUGCCAUAGGAUGAGCCCAAGUGGGAUUAGGUAGUUGGUGAGGUAAAGGCUCACCAAGCCGACGAUCUCUAGCUGGUCUGAGAGGAUGACCAGCCACACUGGGACUGAGACACGGCCCAG